AGCUGUGGACACCGGCGAACGGGUGCGUAACACGUGAGAAACCUGCCCCCCAGACCGGGAUAGCCCGAGGAAACUCGGAUUAAUACCGGAUACUCUCUUUGGACCGCAUGGUCCAUUGAGGAAAAGUCCGCUGCUGGGGGAUGGUCUCGCGGCCUAUCAGGUAGUUGGUGAGGUAAUGGCUCACCAAGCCUACGACGGGUAGCUGGUCUUAGAGGACGAUCAGCCACACUGGAACUGAGACACGGUCCAGACUCCUACGGGAGGCAGCAGUGGGGAAUAUUGCACAAUGGGGGAAACCCUGAUGCAGCAACGCCGCGUGGAGGAUGACGCAUUUCGGUGUGUAAACUCCUUUUAUCAAGGAAGAAAUUUGACGGUACUUGAUGAAUAAGCACCGGCUAACUCCGUGCCAGCAGCCGCGGUAAUACGGAGGGUGCAAGCGUUACUCGGAAUCACUGGGCGUAAAGCGCGCGCAGGCGGCCUGAUAAGUUGGAUGUGAAAGCCUACGGCUCAACCGUAGAACUGCAUCCAAAACUGUCAGGCUAGAGUGUGGGAGAGGAAGAUGGAAUUAGUUGUGUAGGGGUAAAAUCCGUAGAGAUAACUAGGAAUACCAAAAGCGAAGGCAAUCUUCUGGAACACUACUGACGCUGAGGCGCGAAAGCGUGGGGAGCAAACGGGAUUAGAUACCCCGGUAGUCCACGCAGUAACCGAUGAAUGUUAGUCGUCGGGUAGCUAGUCUAUUCGGUGAUGCAGCUAACGCAUUAAACAUUCCGCCUGGGGAGUACGGUCGCAAGAUUAAAACUCAAAGGAAUAGACGGGGACCCGCACAAGUGGUGGAGCAUGUGGUUUAAUUCGAAGAUACGCGAAGAACCUUACCUAGCCUUGACAUAUUUUAGAACACUUUAGAGAUAGAGUGGUGCCUUCGGGAGCUAAUAUACAGGUGCUGCACGGCUGUCGUCAGCUCGUGUCGUGAGAUGUUGGGUUAAGUCCCGCAACGAGCGCAACCCUCAUCACUAGUUACUAACGGUUCGGCCGAGGACUCUAGUGAGACUGCCUUGCAAGGAGGAGGAAGGUGAGGACGACGUCAAGUCAUCAUGGCCCUUACGGCUAGGGCAACACACGUGCUACAAUGGUUGGGACAAUGAGACGCGAUACCGCGAGGUGG
rnacentral:rRNA from 1 species